GGCUGGUUCUUGUGCAGUGGUGUUUACAACUAAUUAACCACAACCAGUUACAGAUUUCUGUGUUCCUUCUCUACUCCCCCUGCUUCACUUGAUCAGCCUUUA
rnacentral:Y_RNA from 1 species